CCUACGGGUGGCAGCAGUGGGGAAUAUUGCACAAUGGGGGAAACCCUGAUGCAGCGACGCCGCGUGAGUGAAGAAGUAUUUCGGUACGUAAAGCUCUAUCAGCAGGGAAGAAAAUGACGGUACCUGACUAAGAAGCCCAGGCUAACUACGUGCCAGCAGCCGCGGUAAUACGUAGGGGGCAAGCGUUAUCCGGAGUUACUGGGUGUAAAGGGAGCGUAGACGGCAGCGCAAGUCUGGAGUGAAAUCCCAUGGCUUAACCAUGGAACUGCUUUGGAAACUGUGCAGCUAGAGUGCAGGAGAGGUAAGCGGAAUGCCUAGUGUAGCGGUGAAAUGCGUAGAUAUUAGGAGGAACACCAGUGGCGAAGGCGGCUUACUGGACUGUAACUGACGUUGAGGCUCGAAAGCGUGGGGAGCAAACAGGAUUAGAUACCCCUGUAGUC
rnacentral:rRNA from 1 species